AAGCUUUCAUGUGCAUGCACACUUCUUCAUAUAUACACUUCUUUAGGUAUACACUUCUUUAGGUAUACACUUCUUCAGAUACACGUUUCUGAAGAAGUGUGCAUGCACAUGAAAGCUU